CAGCACGUAAUGGUGGGAACUCCAGGGAGACUGCCGGUGAUAAACCGGAGGAAGGUGGGGACGACGUCAAGUCAUCAUGGCCCUUACGAGUAGGGCUACACACGUGCUACAAUGGCGCAUACAGAGGGCNNCCAACCAGCGAUGGUGAGCGAAUCCCAAAAAGUGCGUCGUAGUCCGGAUUGGAGUCUGCAACUCGACUCCAUGAAGUCGGAAUCGCUAGUAAUCGUGAAUCAGAAUGUCACGGUGAAUACGUUCCCGGGCCUUGUACACACCGCCCGUCACACCAUGGGAGUGGGCUGCAAAAGAAGUGGGUAGUUAAC
rnacentral:rRNA from 1 species